rnacentral:rRNA from 1 species
GGGAGUGAAAAAGAACCUGAAACCGUGUACGUACAAGCAGUGGGAGCACAGGUUUGCGGUGUGACUGCGUACCUUUUGUAUAAUGGGUCAGCGACUUAUAUUCUGUAGCAAGGUUAACCGAAUAGGGGAGCCGGAGGGAAACCGAGUCUUAAUUGGGCGUUAAGUUGCAGGGUAUAGACCCGAAACCCGGUGAUCUAGCCAUGGGCAGGUUGAAGGUUGGGUAACACUAACUGGAGGACCGAACCGACUAAUGUUGAAAAAUUAGCGGAUGACCUGUGGCUGGGGGUGAAAGGCCAAUCAAACCGGGAGAUAGCUGGUUCUCCCCGAAAGCUAUUUAGGUAGCGCCUCGUGAAUUCAUCUCCGGGGGUAGAGCACUGUUUCGGCUAGGGGGCCAUCCCGGCUUACCAACCCGAUGCAAACUGCGAAUACCGGAGAAUGUUAUCACGGGAGACACACGGCGGGUGCUAACGUCCGUCGUGAAGAGGGAAACAACCCAGACCGCCAGCUAAGGUCCCAAAGUCAUGGUUAAGUGGGAAACGAUGUGGGAAGGCCCAGACAGCCAGGAUGUUGGCUUAGAAGCAGCCAUCAUUUAAAGAAAGCGUAAUAGCUCACUGGUCGAGUCGGCCUGCGCGGAAGAUGUAACGGGGCUAAACCAUGCACCGAAGCUGCGGCAGCGAACGUAUCACUUAAAGCGAUUCAGCGGAUGACGAUUGACGGAGCGAAGCGACGUCAAAGCGUAUACAAAGUCGAGUCGGUUUAAGGAUACGUUCGUUGGGUAGGGGAGCGUUCUGUAAGCCUGUGAAGGU